GAAAUGCGAUAAGUAAUGUGAAUUGCAGAAUUCAGUGAAUCAUCGAAUCUUUGAACGCACCUUGCGCCCUUUGGCUAUUCCGAAGGGCAUGCCUGUUUGAGUAUCAUGAACACCUCAACUCUCAUGGUUUGCCAUGAUGAGCUUGGACUUUGGGGGUCUUGCCGGCCUAUGGUCAGCUCCUCUCAAACAAAUCAGCUUGCCAGUGUUUGGUGGCAUCGCGGGUGUGAUAACUAUCUACACUUGUGGUUUUCCAUCAGAUAACCUUCAGUGAUGAAGGUUCGCUGGAGCUCACAAAUGUCUCUCCUCGGUGAGGACAGCUUUCUGAAUGUUUGAUCUCAAAUCAGGUAGGACUACCCGCUGAACUUAAGCAUAUCAAUAAGCGGAGGAAAAGAAACU
rnacentral:rRNA from 1 species